rnacentral:rRNA from 1 species
AGGUUGGCUCAGAAGCAGCCAUCCUUUAAAGAGUGCGUAACAGCUCACUAGUCGAGUGACCCUGCGCCGAAAAUGUACCGGGGCUAAGCCUGAUACCGAAACUGCGGAUUGUAGGAAACUAUAGUGGUAGGGGAGCGUUGUAUACGAGCAGAAGCCGUACCGUGAGGAGCGGUGGAUUGUAUAGAAGUGAGAAUGCCGGUGUGAGUAGCGAGAUGUAGGUGAGAAUCCUACACACCGAAAGCCCAAGGAUUCCAGGGGAAGGUUCGUCCGCCCUGGGUAAGUCGGGACCUAACGCGAGGCCGAAAGGCGUAGUGGAUGGAAAGCAGGCGAAAGAUUCCUGCACCCGUAUAUGGAGCGAAGGAGUGACGGAGACGGAUAGUGUGACCCUCUUAAUGGAUUGAGGGCGAAGCGAAGCGGCUGGUUACCAGGCAAAUCCGGUAACCAUAAGGCUAGAGCGUGACAGGUAAGCGAAAUCUUAGGAAAGUAGCGAAGCACAUGAUGACGGCUUCCAGGAAAAGCUUCUGGCAAUGCAUAUGCGGCCCGUACCAAAACCGACACAGGUGGGCAGGGAGAGAAUCCCGAGGUGAGCGAGAGAACUGUUGCCAAGGAACUCGGCAAAAUGACUCCGUAAGUUAGCGAGAAGGAGUGCUUAAGCAAUUAAGCCGCAGUGAAGAGGCCCAAGCGACUGUUUAACUAAAACACAGCUCUCUGCGAAGUCGCAAGACGAAGUAUAGGGGGUGACACCUGCCCGGUGCUGGAAGGUUAAGAGGAUCUGUUAAGAGCGAUCUGAAGCAGUGAUCCGAAGCCCCAGUGAACGGCGGCCGUAACUAUAACGGUCCUAAGGUAGCGAAAUUCCUUGUCAGGUAAGUUCUGACCCGCACGAAAGGUGUAACGAUUUGGGCGCUGUCUCGGCAGCAGACUCGGUGAAAUCUUAGUACCUGUGAAAAUGCAGGUUACCCGCAACUAGACGGAAAGACCCCAUGGAGCUUUACUGCAGCCUGAUAUUGAAUUCUGGUCAUACAUGUACAGGAUAGGUGGGAGACAAAGAGACGUGCACGUCAGUGUACGAGGAGUCGACGUUGGGAUACCACUCUUGUGUGACCGGGGUUCUAACCUGGUAUCGAGAACAGGUACGGGGAGAGUGUCAGGUGGGCAGUUUGACUGGGGCGGUCGCCUCCCAAAGAGUAACGGAGGCGCCCAAAGGUACGCUCAGAUUGGAUGGAAACCAAUCGUCGAGUGCAAUUGCAGAAGCGUGCUUGACUGUGAGACAGACAAGUCGAACAGGGACGAAAGUCGGGAAUAGUGAUCCGGCGGUGCCGAAUGGAAGGGCCGUCGCUCAACGGAUAAAAGCUACCCUGGGGAUAACAGGCUGAUCUCGCCCAAGAGUUCACAUCGACGGGGAGGUUUGGCACCUCGAUGUCGGCUCAUCGCAUCCUGGGGCUGUAGUAGGUCCCAAGGGUUGGGCUGUUCGCCCAUUAAAGCGGUACGCGAGCUGGGUUCAGAACGUCGUGAGACAGUUCGGUCC